rnacentral:snoRNA from 1 species
AUGCACCAGAUACGAGCCUGACAGUCUACCCUGUCCUGGAUGUGUUGCACACUGGGAUUUCCCAUGGCUGCAAGGCUUCAAACGGUGCGAGAACAACAUCAGCCCUGAGAUUUAAGCUUUUCAGUGGGAAGUUACACUGUUGAGUUAUGGCUCAGAGGCACAGAU